rnacentral:rRNA from 1 species
AACGAACGCUGGCGGCAUGCCUAACACAUGCAAGUCGAACGAGACCUUCGGGUCUAGUGGCGCACGGGUGCGUAACACGUGGGAAUCUGCCCUUUGCUUCGGAAUAACAGUUAGAAAUGACUGCUAAUACCGGAUGAUGUCGAAAGACCAAAGAUUUAUCGGCAAAGGAUGAGCCCGCGUAGGAUUAGGUAGUUGGUGGGGUAAAGGCCUACCAAGCCGACGAUCCUUAGCUGGUCUGAGAGGAUGAUCAGCCACACUGGGACUGAGACACGGCCCAGACUACUACGGGAGGAAGAAGGGGGGAAUAUUGGAAAAGGGGGGAAAGUCGGACCGAGAAAGGCCGGGUGAGGGAUGAAGGCGUUGGGGUGGAAAAGCUUUUUUAAAAGGGAGAAAAAGGACAGUACCUGAAGAAAAAGCGCCGGCAAACUCCGUC